CUCAAGGAAGCGCUUUGCCUACGUGGACAGAAAGUGCGCCCUCAAGGAAGCAUUUUCUGUCCACGUAGGCAAAGCGCUUCAUUGAGG
rfam:Gossypium hirsutum cultivar TM-1 chromosome 16, whole genome shotgun sequence